CAGAAACUAUUGAACCCAGUCUUAUAGAUUGGUUGAAAAAGGUUGAUGACUUGAAGAAACAGACACAUGAAGUUUUGGAAAGUGAAACAAAUUUUGAAAUGCAGUACCUGUUCUUUAUAUGUCCAAAUUUGAAGACUCGUUACUCGCUUGGCUGGAAAGCCAUAGAGAAGACGACUGAGGUUGCUAAGCUCCGAAAGGAAGGUACAUUAUUUCAAAAUGUGGCCAAGCCUAAACAAUUGGUGCAAAUAUCUUUUCAAAACUCCCGUAACUUUGGAGCUUCGAAACAAGGAUAUCAAUUAAAAAGGAAAUCAUGGAUGCUCUAAAGGACAAAAAAGUCAGCAUAAUUGUGAUAUGUGGCAUGGGUGGAGUAGGUAAGACGAUAAUGGCAAAUCCCGGUAUAUUACA
rnacentral:lncRNA from 1 species